rnacentral:rRNA from 1 species
UUAGGAAUUUUGGGCAAUGGGCGCAAGCCUGACCCAGCAACGCCGCGUGGGGGACGACGGCCUUCGGGUUGUAAACCCCUUUUCCGGGGGACGAUGGUGACGGUACCUCGGGAAGAAGCCCCGGCUAACUACGUGCCAGCAGCCGCGGUAAUACGUAGGGGGCCAGCGUUGUCCGGAUUCAUUGGGCGUAAAGCGCGCGCAGGCGGCCCGCGACGUCGCUCGUGAAAGCCCCCGGCUCAACCGGGGAGGGACGGGCGAAACGGGCGGGCUGGAGGCCGGUAGGGGGGAGUGGAAUUCCCGGUGUAGUGGUGGAAUGCGUAGAGAUCGGGAGGAACACCAGUGGCGAAGGCGACUCCCUGGGCCGAGCCUGACGCUGAGGCGCGAAAGCGUGGGGAGCGAUCCGGAUUAGAUACCCCCGUAGUCC